UCGAGCGGACAGAUGGGAGCUUGCUCCCUGAAGUCAGCGGCGGACGGGUGAGUAACACGUGGGCAACCUGCCUGUAAGACUGGGAUAACUUCGGGAAACCGGAGCUAAUACCGGAUAACACCGAGGACCUCAUGGUCCUUGGUUGAAAGAUGGCUUCGGCUAUCACUUACAGAUGGGCCCGCGGCGCAUUAGCUAGUUGGUGAGGUAACGGCUCACCAAGGCGACGAUGCGUAGCCGACCUGAGAGGGUGAUCGGCCACACUGGGACUGAGACACGGCCCAGACUCCUACGGGAGGCAGCAGUAGGGAAUCUUCCGCAAUGGACGAAAGUCUGACGGAGCAACGCCGCGUGAGCGAUGAAGGCCUUCGGGUCGUAAAGCUCUGUUGUUAGGGAAGAACAAGUACCGUUCAAAUAGGGCGGUACCUUGACGGUACCUAACCAGAAAGCCACGGCUAACUACGUGCCAGCAGCCGCGGUAAUACGUAGGUGGCAAGCGUUGUCCGGAAUUAUUGGGCGUAAAGCGCGCGCAGGCGGUUCCUUAAGUCUGAUGUGAAAGCCCACGGCUCAACCGUGGAGGGUCAUUGGAAACUGGGGAACUUGAGUGCAGAAGAGGAAAGCGGAAUUCCACGUGUAGCGGUGAAAUGCGUAGAGAUGUGGAGGAACACCAGUGGCGAAGGCGGCUUUCUGGUCUGUAACUGACGCUGAGGCGCGAAAGCGUGGGGAGCAAACAGGAUUAGAUACCCUGGUAGUCCACGCCGUAACGAUGAGUGCUAAGUGUUAGGGGGUUUCCGCCCCUUAGUGCUGCAGCUAACGCAUUAAGCACUCCGCCUGGGGAGUACGGCCGCAAGGCUGAACUCA
rnacentral:rRNA from 1 species